AUGUUCUUUACAAGUUCUGAAUAAUGUUGAUUCUGAUUCAUCUGAUCACUGAGAUAAAAGCUAUUGAACCCAGAAAAAACAAAAGGAAUGGUGUGUGAAUUAUGAGCCAAGAAAACAGUAACAUAUAGCAGUUAGAUAUAGAAAAAUUAAUGUAGCUAAAGGUUUUAGAAACAGAGGAGGUUGGCAAGUAUGAUUCUACUAUGCUACUUAUUCAUUUUGUGGCAACAAUCAGUUGUUAUGGGAUGUUUCUAUUAAUGGGUAUUUGCUAAUUGUAGAGAUGAAUGUGGGAUGUUUAGAAAUGCAAUACAAGGAAACUUUUUGUUGAAGUUGAGCGUAGCGAAUGUAGAUGCAAUUAUAACUGUGAAUUUUAUUAUUAAUUGUGGGUUCAGCCUCUAGAAAGGAUCUAAGAAGUGGAAUUAUUAACAUUGUUUAGAUUUAGGUCCAAUGAAGAGUGGAUUUGGCGACCCAAACCUUUCAAAUCUCACCUGCCAAGGGCUGGAAUUUUUACUGUUUAUUUGUAUAUUUAUCAAAAUUUUCACCUUUGAAAAUUAUGAGGAACCCUUUAUUGUAAAGGUCAGCUACUGCCAUAUCAAAUUAGUUGGGGGGAAUUUUCGGGUUCAGUUGAGCAGUUACAAGUUUUGGAAGGAUUUUUGUUUAGUAGUUACAUACUAUUUGCUUACUACUAUUUUUUUUUUUUUUGGUAAAAGACCUCUCUGACAGUUUGAAGAGAAUUAAGGUGGAAAAUAUUGGAGCAACUUUCACUUGGAGAUUGGAAAUGGAAGCUCUUUUGUAAUUACUUUAGCUUGUAAUUCUGAUGUUCAAUGAUCUGGAGAUAUCUUAGCAAGUUUUUCAUUCUUUAAUUUAGGUGAUGCGAUUUGCACAUUAAUUGUUUGGUCAAAAGUUGAGUUAAUGAAGUCGUACAUAGAGUUUUUCAAUGCUUUAUCUGGGAUUUGUUGGGUAUUGGAUCUUAUAAACAGUGAAAACAAGGCUGAUUAGUUCUUUCUUUGGUGGGAUUUUUUGGGUGCAUUUUUGUUGAUGGCCA